AACGAACGCUGGCGGCAGGCUUAACACACGCAAGUCGAGCGCCCCGCAAGGGGAGCGGCAGACGGGUGAGUAACGCGUGGGAAUCUACCCAUCACUACGGAACAACUCCGGGAAACUGGAGCUAAUACCGUAUACGUUCUUCGGGAGAAAGAUUUAUCGGUGAUGGAUGAGACCGCGUUGGAUUAGCUAGUUGGUGGGGUAAUGGCCUACCAAGGCGACGAUCCAUAGCUGGUCUGAGAGGAUGAUCAGCCACACUGGGACUGAGACACGGCCCAGACUCCUACGGGAGGCAGCAGUGGGGAAUACUGGACAAUGGGCGAAAGCCUGAUCCACCCAUGCCGCGUGAGUGAUGACGGCCCUAGGGUUGGAAAGCUCUUUCGCAGGUGAAGAUAAUGACGGUAACCGGAGAAGAAGCCCCGGCUAACUUCGUGCCAGCAGCCGCCGCAGUAA
rnacentral:rRNA from 1 species